UGAAAAGGGAAACGAUUGAAGUCAGUCAUGCUAGUGAAAAAUCAGUUUGACGGGUUUUGAGUUCUUGAGUAGAGGCAGGGUCAAACCGUUUCUCUUUUGAACUUGGGAUUUGUUAGAUGUACUUUUUCUUUGGCAGGUCAACGUCGGUUUCGGGGGUUGUAAAAUACUUGGGGGAAAGUAGCUCUGCUUCGGGAGAGUGUUAUAGACCCUGGGAGAUGCAGCCUGCGGGAUCGAGGAUUGCAGCAAAUGCCUUUGGCUUGUCGCCUGUUCCUGGGUGUUACCUCUCUUGUGACAACAUUCUUGCCACCGGAGGGUUCUAAUGCUCACUGUUUAGUGCGAUCAAAAAUUUUGCUAAGGAUGUUGACGUA
rnacentral:rRNA from 1 species